UAAUUCCCCAUAAUAUUUAAACAUGGCAUCAUGUUUUCAUUAAAGCUCCGGCGGUCAGAGAUGGGCAUGCGUGACAUUAGCUUGUUGGUAAGGUAACGGCUUACCAAGGCUGCGAUGUCUCGGGGGUCUGAGAGGAUGAUCCCCCACACUGGUACUGAGACACGGACCAGACUCCUACGGGAGGCAGCAGUGAGGAAUAUUGGGCAAUGGACGCAAGUCUGACCCAGCCAUGCCGCGUGCAGGAUGACGGCUCUAUGAGUUGUAAACUGCUUUUAUAAAGGAAGAAACCCUCUGACGUGUCAGAGAUUGACGGUACUUUACGAAUAAGCAUCGGCUAACUCCGUGCCAGCAGCCGCGGUAAUACGGAGGAUGCAAGCGUUAUCCGGAUUCAUUGGGUUUAAAGGGUGCGUAGGCGGAGCAAUUAGUCAGUGGUGAAAUCCUGCGGCUUAACCGUAGAACUGCCAUUGAUACUGUUGCCCUUGAGUAUAGUUGAGGUGGGCGGAAUGUGUAAUGUAGCGGUGAAAUGCAUAGAUAUUACCCAGAACGCCAAUUGCGAAGGCAGCUCACUAAGCUAUAACUGACGCUGAGGCACGAAAGCGUGGGGAGCGAACAGGAUUAGAUACCCUGGUAGUCCACGCUGUAACGAUGAUCACUCGUUGUUGGCAAUACAUCGUCAGCGACUGAGCGAAAGCAUUAAGUGAUCCACCUGGGGAGUACGAUCGCAAGAUUGAAACUCAAAGGAAUUGACGGGGGCCCGCUCAAGCGGAGGAACAUGUGGUUUAAUUCGAUGAUACGCGAGG
rnacentral:rRNA from 1 species